AGGAGUCAGACCCAAUGAUGAUGGAACCUACAGCUGAGGAAGAGUGUGGAGAUCCAGGAGGACGAAACAGCAGAUUAUUACUGUUAUGUGAAUCACAGCUCCAUCAACACACCAGUAAUUAAACAAUGGGAUGGAAAAUGCAGUGACUGCCAGAGUCGUCUGAUUGUAGGAGUGAUGUGCUUUUUGCUGGUCAUGCUGGUUGGGGUCAUCUUCUUUUUUCUGAAAAAGAAGGGGAUCAUUGGUAAAAGAGACAAUCAUCAUCCAAAUGUAAUCUUCAGCAACGGAAGGGAAUCUACUUGUCUAUCAAACUGGAGCAGCACUGAAAAUGUUAAUGUGAACAUUAAUCUGACUGGUUCCUGAAGCUGUGGGUCAACAGUUUAAACUCUUGCAGAACAAAUGAUCGCUCUCCUCCACAGGUAACUGACUCACCACCAAUCCCUGCUGGACCUGCUUUGGAGGAUAUAAAGGCACUGGAGCUGUUUGAGGAACGUCCCAGCCUCUUGGAAAUGGAGCCCACCCUUUGGUGCUUGUCCCUUCUUCCUGUGUUUUCCCUCAGCCCCUGGAACCCUACACAGGUUUAAUGUCAGCCUUUCCUUCUUACCUCAUCCCUCCCUCUCCAUGUCCCCCCUCUGUCUCUCACAUGAGCCCAGUGGCAGAGCCUAAAUGUGAAUAAAGGCCACAGGUAGCGGCAGAUGUCCAACACCUUAGCGCCAGUGAGAGCCACAGUGCUGGAAUGAAUGAUGAUGCAUCUAAGAAUCGAUUAUUAUUGGUAAUAAAAUAAGUUACUUAUAGAAAACGAUCAGUAACACUUUACUGUAGGUGAGUGUUCAUAAAGCUAGAGGACGCCUACAAAAGUUCAUCAUUAUAACCCACAAGGACCUACAUCAACAUUUAUAAACACUUAU